CCUACGGGAGGCAGCAGUGGGGAAUUUUGCACAAUGCGCCCAAACCCUAAUCCAGCCAUGCCGCGUGUGUGAAGAAGGCCUUCGGGUUGUAAAGCACUUUCAGUAGGAAGGAAAGCUUGUAAUUUAAUACCGUGCAGGCUGUGACGUUACCGACAGAAUAAGCACCGGCUAACUCC
rnacentral:rRNA from 1 species